AAGUUUCCCCUCUCUUUCUUAUCCUGACAAUUUAUCUGUUGAAGAAUCUGAAUCCUUUGACCUGUGAAAUUUCCCACAAUCUGGAUGUUGCUGAUGAAGUAUUCUCGGUGGAGUUCAACGUGUUCUGGACUUCCUAUGAUGUAGCAGCUGGAUCCCAAGAAAUAACAGCAAAUAAGUACAAGAAAGAGAGAGACAGCAAGAAUUACAGCCUGUAUGGAAGACGACUCUAAAUAAUGAUGAUAAUAUUGGUGGAAUCAAAGCAUCUAGAAGACCAUGCAUUCCAUUUUAAAUCUAGUUGAGAUGGCAUAAUUCAUACCUCCUCAAAUGUGGACAAUUAUAAAUGACUCAACCAGCAGGUGCCAAAUUCCACCUCCACCCUGAGUAUACUUGAAGCAACCACCUAAACCCAAGCUAAUAGCCAGAUGUAUGCUCACUGAAUGGAUAACUCACCUAACCUUGAGAAGCUCCUUAAAGUACUCUCCUGAUCUUCUGGCAAAUAAUUCAGCAAACAUCUUUCGUUGCUUGAGAAUGCCCUGGGAGGCCUCCUCCUUAUCCUCAG
rnacentral:lncRNA from 1 species